CUUUGCCUCAUGUGCCUUGGAGGAACUGUAAUUUAUGUAUUCUGAUUUGGUAUCUCACAUGAUCUAUAAAUUUGCUUUAAGGUGAAGGAUUUUCUGGUACAUUUUACAGUCCCAGUUUUUACUUGAAAUAGUUCCUGCCCUUCUACUACAUAUUUGAUUUUUGAUUGAUUAUCCGUGUGAAUGUUUGUGUAUAUAUGUAUUAAAAGUUACAAGAUUACACCACAUAUAUAUAGUCACUAAUCAGUUAUAGUAAUCUAAAUUAAUGUCCAAUUAAGUGCUUUCAGUUAUGAUACAUAAUUGUAGUCUAUGGCUUAUGAAAACAUAAUAGUUUAAAUAUAUUUCCAUAUCAGAUUCCCAAUUAGUAAUAAUAUAUAUAUAUACAUAUCUAUAUAUAUAAAAGAGGGUUUGGAUCCUUCCCAGGCUAUCCACGUAAGCUGACAAGUCACAAAUUCACGUGAUACUGUUGCGACACGUAUGAAACGCAUCGUUUCAUUUAAACGUGAUUUCUUAUGGGCUUUGGUCCUUUAGACGUGAUUUCUGUAUCGGGCCUGAGUUGAAGGAAUUCGCACUCUAGCCCUAAACGAAGAAUUUCAGAUCUUUUCCUCUCUUCCUACAACAGCGCCGCCUGACGUCUGAACUCCCUUCCUUGGAUGAAACAGCUCCUGUAACGGAAGAUGUUGUGAUUACUCCGUCUUUAAUCCCAUUAAUUCGUAAUCUCACUACGAGAGCUUCAGUUGCGUUGUUUCAUCGGCGAGUUCUGUAUAAAUAGUCCGGUCGGUGUUCAUCGGUUGUCGAGGCAAGGCUGCUUCAUUAUUGGGAGGCGAGGCGAGGCUGCUUCAUUAUGCGGGUGGAUUUGCUCCUGGUGGAUGUUAAUGUAGAGUCGAUACUGAUGAUCCGUUGUAUCUUCCUCGCCAUGUCUUCACUCACGGACAGUUGUACGUUGCCAUUUCUAGAGUCACAACUCCGACUGGGCUUAUGAUAUCAGACGAAACUUCUGAUGUGGACGGCAAAGAUGGAGUAACCAAUAUUGUCUACAAUGAAAUCGUCAAAGACGUCCGAGUGACUCAGGCCUCAUUGCUCCCAGUGAAAUCAACAAGCGGAUAUAAAGGGACACGAAGGCGCAGAGAUAUCAUCAAAUUGGAAAUGUUCUUCUGCUAACUCCGAUCCGGAUUGUAAAACUUCCUUUAUCAGUUUUGUCUCAUGAAUUACAGCCAGUGUGUUAUUGACCAAUCUUACGCUUUCUGAAAACAUCGUUUACAAAACAAUGGAACAUAACGUUUUUAGACU